CCUACGGGAGACAGCAGUGGGGGAUAUUGGACAAUGGGGGGAACCCUGAUCCAGCGACGCCGCGUGAGUGAAGAAGUAUUUCGGUAUGUAAAGCUCUGUCAGCAGGGAAGAAAGAAAUGACGGUACCUGACCAAGAAGCCCCGGCUAACUACGUGCCAGCAGCCGCGGUAAUACGGAGGGGGCAAGCGUUAUCCGGAAUUACUGGGUGUAAAGGGAGCGUAGACGGUUAAGUAAGUCUGGAGUGAAAGGCCGGGGCCCAACCCCGGGACUGCUCUGGAAACUAUUGAACUUGAGUGCAGGAGAGGUAAGCGGAAUUCCUAGUGUAGCGGUGAAAUGCGUAGAUAUUAGGAGGAACACCAGUGGCGAAGGCGGCUUACUGGACUGUAACUGACGUUGAGGCUCGAAAGCGUGGGGAGCAAACAGGAUUAGAUACCCGAGUAGUC
rnacentral:rRNA from 1 species